rnacentral:lncRNA from 1 species
CCAGUUCAGAUCUGAGCCCGGAACCCGAAUCCGAACCCAAACCCGAAACCCGAAACCCGAACCCAUUUGGCCACUAAAUGAAAUUUUGCAGAUAAGCCCUUGACAGUAUAUUAUUUCACAAAAAGGAUCUUCUGUAUUUUGUAUUUGAUCCCUAUAGGAAAGACUUAUUACGUAAAGGUCCCCAACAAUAUUUAUUUAGUCCCCUCACUCAAGUUUUAUUAUAGAACAAUACCCUAUAAUUAAGUAUUAGUCCCUGCAAUAAAUUUUAUUAUAUACAGGUACAAUUAGAAGCCAACAUUGGGGGCCCUAUUUAGCCGAGUCUAUACGGGCCCAUUGGGCCGUGUCCGAUAUGGGCCCUAUUGGGCCAUGCCCAUUAUGGGCCAACUCUGGACCCUGUUGGGCCAUGUCCAAUAAUAUUAUUUUUGAAUUUUGCUUAGUCUGAAAUUAACAAGAAAUUAAUUAAACUUUAACAGGUGAUCCUAAUCCGUCUACCUGAAGUAGGAAUCAAGCGAGAAGAUGUAAGUAACUUAAUACUUCAAAUGUGAUUUC